GUUGUAUGGUUAAGUGACUAAGCGUACACGGUGGAUGCCUUGGCAGUCAGAGGCGAUGAAAGACGUAGUAACUUGCGAUAAGCCCAGAUUAGGUAGUAACAACCAUUUGAGUCUGGGAUUUCUGAAUGGGGAAACCCACUUACAUAAGUAAGUAUCAUUAACUGAAUACAUAGGUUAAUGAGGCGAACCGGGGGAACUGAAACAUCUAAGUACCCCGAGGAAAAGAAAUCAACCGAGAUUCCGAAAGUAGCGGCGAGCGAAAUUGGACUAGCCCUUAAGCUUUACACGCGUUAGACGAACGGUCUGGAAAGUCCGACGAUACAGGGUGAUAGUCCCGUAGUUGACGACGUGUGUUCAGUGAAAUCGAGUAGGGCGGGACACGUGAUAUCCUGUCUGAAUAUGGGGGGACCAUCCUCCAAGGCUAAAUACUACUGACUGACCGAUAGUGAACCAGUACCGUGAGGGAAAGGCGAAAAGAACCCCUGUGAGGGGAGUGAAAUAGAACCUGAAACCGUGUACGUACAAGCAGUAGGAGCAGGCUUUGUCCUGUGACUGCGUACCUUUUGUAUAAUGGGUCAGCGACUUAUAUUCAGUGGCAAGGUUAACCAUCUAGGGGAGCCGUAGGGAAACCGAGUCUUAACUGGGCGUUCAGUCUCUGGAUAUAGACCCGAAACCAGGUGAUCUAGCCAUGGGCAGGUUGAAGGUUGAGUAACAUCAACUGGAGGACCGAACCGACUAAUGUUGAAAAAUUAGCGGAUGACUUGUGGCUAGGGGUGAAAGGCCAAUCAAACCUGGAGAUAGCUGGUUCUCCCCGAAAGCUAUUUAGGUAGCGCCUCGGACGAAUACUACUGGGGGUAGAGCACUGUUAAGGCUAGGGGGUCAUCCCGACUUACCAACCCUUUGCAAACUCCGAAUACCAGUAAGUACUAUCCGGGAGACACACGGCGGGUGCUAACGUCCGUCGUGGAGAGGGAAACAACCCAGACCGCCAGCUAAGGUCCCAAAUUACUACUAAGUGGGAAACGAUGUGGGAAGGCUCAGACAGCCAGGAUGUUGGCUUAGAAGCAGCCAUCAUUUAAAGAAAGCGUAAUAGCUCACUGGUCGAGUCGGCCUGCGCGGAAGAUGUAACGGGGCUAAGUAGUAAACCGAAGCUGCGG
rnacentral:rRNA from 1 species